UCUGUCCAGAAAGAUAAAUAAAUAUUAAUUUGUUGUUAUUAUAUUAUUUUAAACAAACAAACAAACAAACACAUUUUUUCAGAAUCUUAAGCAUAUUUCACUGAGGUUGGAUGACGUUUUCCUUAAGAAGUCAGAUUGCCUCAGCUCUGCCAGGAUGACCAGCUACAUGGAUUUUCUACAGGAAGAAUAAGAUGCUGACCCCGAGCUAAAGUUGCAAGCAUCAAGAAAAGCAAAGAGUUUUCUAAUUAAUCAUCUAGGAAAGGCAUCAUAACUCACACAUCAAUUAAUCACUGUCUCUUAUCAUCUGAGACCUACUUUCCAUAAAAGAUCAUUGACAUGUUGCAUUUUUCAUGUUUUCUGAUAAGCAGAGCAUUUACCUCAGUUGGAGAUAGGAUUGUGGAAGGGAUGGGCACUUUUCUUCUUCCAGCGCCAAAUCACUUCCACCUCCUCAGAGGGGGAACACUAGCUCCAACCCUAGUGACACAAGUGAAUUAUCACCCAUCAGAAAGCAGGCAGUCAAUAACCAACCCUUCUAAGUUCUCAUCUGGAGAAAAUUACUCAUACUGAGAUAUUGCACUGCAGGAGCAAUAUGGACCUACUCCUUUCUCUGCCUUCAAAGGAAUAUCAUGGUCUUGGUUGUUUGUAAUUAAAAAGGACUGGCUCUGUCCUAUAGACCAUGGGGCAAGAAGUACAGAACAACCUACAUUUAUACAGUUGACCCCUCUCCUCCUUGAAGACAACAGGUUACCUUGCCUAUAGGAAUUGUCUUUGUUUUUAUUGUCCUUUAAACCAUGUUCUGUCCUGAAGAGUUCUAACAGGCACAGCCCUAUUAAACAGCAUGGAUGAUCAUGUGCAAGUUUGAACCAGUGCCUUGGUCAUCUUAGCACUCUAACACAGCCUAAUGAGUUCUGAGUUCUGACCACAAAAAAACAGGCUGUAGCAGAGGGUGAAAAGCUAGGGCAGUGCUUCUGGUUUUAGCCUGGUAGGUCAGGUCAAAAUGACAUUUAAAGGUGGUCCAAAAUGGAGAAGCAGCUAAAUGGAAAGCAUAACUCAUCUCCACAGUUUUUUCAGGUCCCCCUCAAAAGAACAAGGUCUGAGUUCCAAGACUUUUUCCAUGGUCUAUUUACACAUCUUUUGUGAAUUAUUCAUGACAAUCCUUAGAUGUUAACCAGCAACACGGACCUUUAUUGAUGAAAAUGAAAUGAUCUCAAGAAGAGAGAAUAGUAAGUUCUGAUGAUACUGGCUUUCCUAAAACAUUUCUGCUGGUACUGGAGGCACUGGAAUUGAAACAGAGAAGUUGUGGAUGCUCCAUUCCUUAAGGUGUUCAAGACCAGGUUGGAUGGGAUCCUGGACAGCCUGAUCUAGUGAGUGGCAACCUUGCCCGUGGCAAGGGGGGUUGGAAUUAAGUGAUCUUUAAGGUCCCUUCCAACCUAAGACAUUCUAUAAUUCUAUGAUUCUAUGAAUCAUAUCCCCACACAGAAGAAACUGCAAUCACAUUCGCCUUACAUCUGGUAAGGUGUUACCAGCUUAGCUUUAGACAUAUUUUCCUCUUACCAUUCCUGAAGCAAAGGUCCAUAGCUGUGGUUACCAUGCAUACAAAAUGUUUCCUUCUAUCUCUGAACAUGACACUAAAGCACGGUCAAUUUGGAUUUGUGGAAAUUAAGAAAAAAUACAGGUACCUAAAAGUUAUUUAUUGUAAAGCUCAGUGUUAUGAUGGCAAAAUCCUUGUUGGUCUGGGCCACACUACCCUGCCCCCAUCCCCAAAAAACGUAAGCAAAGAUUCAUGGACUUAAAUAUGAGACCUUCUAAACCUUAUUCAAUGGAAACAGUGUUAUUUGCAUCCUAAAAUAGGCAUUCAAGCGGUGAAUCAUCUGCCUAAAAAAUAUUGCAGUUAUAGAUGCUGUUGGA